GACGAACGCUGGCGGCGUGCUUAACACAUGCAAGUCGAACGGAAAGGCCCUGCUUGCAGGGUACUCGAGUGGCGAACGGGUGAGUAACACGUGGGUGAUCUGCCCUGCACUUCGGGAUAAGCCUGGGAAACUGGGUCUAAUACCGGAUAGGAGCCAUUUUUAGUGUGAUGGUUGGAAAGUUUUUUCGGUGUAGGAUGAGCUCGCGGCCUAUCAGCUUGUUGGUGGGGUAAUGGCCUACCAAGGCGGCGACGGGUAGCCGGCCUGAGGGGGUGGACGGCCACAUUGGGACUGAGAUACGGCCCAGACUCCUACGGGAGGCAGCAGUGGGGAAUAUUGCACAAUGGGCGCAAGCCUGAUGCAGCGACGCCGCGUGGGGGAUGACGGCCUUCGGGUUGUAAACUCCUUUCGCUAGGGACGAAGCUUUUGUGACGGUACCUAGAUAAGAAGCACCGGCUAACUACGUG
rnacentral:rRNA from 1 species